CUCAGGGGAACCAGCCCAUCCUAGAGGCCUGAGAGAGCAGACCUGGGGACACCUCCACCAUGGCCUGGACCCUUCUCCUCCUCACCCUCCUGGCUCACUGCACAGGUUCUGUGGCCUCCUUUGAGCUGACCCAGCCACACUCAGUGUCAGUGGCCCUGGGACAGACAGCCAGGCUCACCUGCUCUGGAGGUCAAUUAGAGAAGAAAUAUGCUUACUGGUACCAGCAGAAGACAGAUCAGUCCCCUAAGCUGGUCAUCUAUGAGGAUAGCAAACGGCCCUCAGGGAUCUCUGACCGAUUCUCUGGCUCCAGCUCUGGGAACACAGCCACCCCGACCAUCAGUGGGAUCCAGAAUGAGGAUGAGGCUGACUAUUACUGUCUGUCAUCAGAAAGUGAGAGCAGUGCUUCUCACAUGCCCCCGGCCCUGAGCCUUCCACGCAGCAGCCAGCUCCUGGGCCCCGGUGCUCCCGCCUCUCAGGAACUUUGGGGCGAGGCAGGGGAAAGGGGCGUCCCCACCACCCAGGGGGGCGCAAGGCAUAUGCGCCCAGCUCUGGGCAGGCUCUGCAGGGAAGACCCCGCGCGACUAGAUGGAGCCGGACCCGCAGGCUUCAUCUAG